rnacentral:rRNA from 1 species
GAGAUAGCUGGUUCUCCCCGAAAGCUAUUUAGGUAGCGCCUCGGACGAAUACCACAGGGGGUAGAGCACUGUUUCGGCUAGGGGGCCAUCCCGGCUUACCAAACCGAUGCAAACUCCGAAUACCAGGAAGUGCAAUCACGGGAGACACACGGCGGGUGCUAACGUCCGUCGUGGAAAGGGAAACAACCCAGACCGCCAGCUAAGGUCCCAAAAUAUUGCUAAGUGGUAAACGAUGUGGGAAGGCAUAGAC